AUUAACUUGUUUAUUGGCAUUUUUAUUUGAAUAUACUCAUUUCUCUGUAUUUAUCUCUAUUUUAUUUUGACAUUCUAAAUGACAAUUAUCUGUAUGUGGAAUUAUACAUAGGUUUAAAAAACAUCUUUUUAGAAGUAAAUCAACUAAUUAAAUUGUUUUUAAUAAAUUACAUAAGAAACACUUAUCUAUCAUAUUUGUUAUGAAAAUUCAAACAAUGCUUUGGUCUGUAAAAUUAAAUAUAAUACUCUGCACUGACAAUUCAUCGCUCCCAUCUAUUCCCACUCUUUCCAAAGGAAUAACUGUUAACAGUUUAAAGCAUGUGUUAAAGCAAUUUUUCUACUAAUUUAUAUACAUAUAUGAACUUACACAUAUUUUCACAUAAUGCAAUCUUAGUUUAUGUAUUGUUCUGUAACUGGCUUUUUCAUAUAAAAUUGAUAUUGGAGAUCUUUGCCUAUUAGGACAUAUAGAUAUCCCUCAUUCUUUUUAAUAGUUGCUCAUUAUUCCAUAAAAUCAUUUACCAUAAUUUGACUAUUUUUCUACUGUGGAACAUUCUGUGAGUUUCAAUUAUUUUCUAUGAUCAACAAUACUUAACUGACAUAUCUGUAUAUUCAUCUUUUUGCUAAUUAGUUUUAUUUUCUUUAAUGAUUGAUUCCUACAAAUAGACUACUGUUAAUAAGUAUGAACAUUUAAUAUAUUGAUAAAAAUUAAAAAUUUGUGUUCCAAAAAGGUUUCACCAAUUUACAUUCUCACCAUCACUGUAUGAAAGUUCCUGUUUAUUCACAUCCUUGAUUAUAGAGUAUAUCAUCAUUCUUAAUUAAUGUUUGUCAGUUUGAUGACUGAAAAAUAAUUUCAUUUUUUAAAUUUGUGUUUCCGCGUUUAUUAACAAGAUUGUAUGUACUUACAUAUAUUCAAUAGCUAUUCAUAUUUUUUCUUCUGUGAAUUUCUUGAUAUAUUUUACCAAUUUUCUAAUUUAUUUAUAGAUAUUCUUUAGAUAGUCUAUUAUUUAUUAUUUGCAAAUAUUUUUUCUUGAAGUCUGUGUCUCGCCUUUUAGCAUUUUAUGCUGCCUGUUGUACAGAAGCUUUAAUUUUUAUUUAGUCAAAUUGUUUCAUAUAUUCCUUAUAGUUUCUGAGUUUUGUGAUUUACUUUCAAUAGUUUGUCCUUUGAGGGUUUUGUUGUCAUUAUUUUGUUCUGUCUUGUCUUAAAGAAUGUGCUCAAAUCCUACAUUAUUUAGCAAUUUAUUUUUCUCUUGUUAUAGCACACGGUGGGCAUCAUUAAGCCCAACUAAUGUAGAUCACAUGAAUUCAUUUUAAUUUCUGACUAAUAACUUAUAAUAUUAGAUAUAUUUGAUUUCCUUAACGAUUCCCCUUUAGAUAGAUAUUCAGAUUGUUUAAAUAUUUUGCCACCACAAAUAAUGCUGCAAUAGUCAUCUUUAUAUCUAGAUCCCCACUAAUGGUUCUAUUUCUAUAAGAUAGAAUCCUCAAAGUGGUAUCACCAAGUCAUGGAUGCAUUUAUCUAUAUUUUUAGUAGAUACAGACAGAUAACUUUCCAAAAAGUUGGAGCAAUUCACAUUCCCGCCAACAAUAGAGAAUAAAUAGGUCUGUUCCCCUUCAGGCUCAGUACCACUAAAAGUUGUUACUUUUUCAAAAAUUACUAAUCUGAUUGGUUAAAAAUCUUAUAGGAGCUCUAAUUAAUCAUCUAUUUUAACUUCACUGAGUUGCCUGUUUAUAACUUUUUUCUACUUUUCUAUCUGGUGGUUUAUGAUGGGAAACAAUUUUAAGCAAAGCAGGAAAUCACAAAAGGUAAAAAUACAUAUUUAACUGAAUAAACUAUUGGCAUUUUUAAUAUCAAAACGGAAGUUAAAAUAUGGAGCCAAAAAGAUAUUGCAACACAAUUAAAAGAGAGAGCUCCCCUAAAUAAAUUAGAAAAGGAUGAGCAAGGCUGAUUGUUGCACUGGAUCUGGAAGGGAAGGAACAGACUUGGGUUUUCUAGAUGCGAUGUAACUCUUGUAAUCUACAAUGUAAUCUGGCAUGGCCAAUAAGCACACGUCCCAGGAAGCUAUCCUCACAAGUUACUCCAAGAGAUUUCUUCCUUUGAUGCCUGACGUCAUUUACCCCUGCCUUAAACGCAGCACUUUAAUGUAAAACCAUUAAGAAUUAUUUAAGUUUUUGAAAUUUUUCUUAUUAGGUUAAGGAAGUUUCUUUUAAUUCCUAAUUUACUAAGAGGCUCUUUUAAAAUUACAAACAGGUGUUGAACUUUAUCAAAAAUUUUAUUGAGUUAAUAAUGGGGUUUUUUUCUUUAAAUGAAUCACUGAUUUCUGUCUAGAAGUGAACAUUGACCCCUGCCUCAUACUAUAUGCAAAACGUAAUUUGAUUUGAACUACAGUCCUCAAUAUAAAAGCUAAAACCAUAAGGAUUCUAGACAAAUUAUGAAGGAAUAACUUCGAGUCCUUGGAAUAGACCAUGUCUAUCUAGAGAGGAUGCAAAAAAUACUAAUCACAAGAGAAAAAAUGAUGCAUUGGAUAACAUCAAAAUUGAAAACUUCUUUUUUCCAGCCUUAUUGAGAUAUAAAUGACAUAUAACAUUAUGUAAGUUGAAGGUGUAUGUUAUGAUUUGAUACAUGUAUACAUUAAGAAACAUUUACCAUAGUAGCAUUAGUUAACAAAUCC
ensembl:lncRNA